GAGCGGCGAACGGGUGAGUAACACGUGAGCAACCUACCCUUCACUUCGGGAUAAGCCUCGGAAACGGGGUCUAAUACCGGAUAUCACCUNANUCUUCAUGACUUGGGGUUGAAAGUUCUGGCGGUGGGGGAUGGGCUCGCGGCCUAUCAGCUUGUUGGUGGGGUAAUGGCCUACCAAGGCGUCGACGGGUAGCCGGCCUGAGAGGGCGACCGGCCACACUGGGACUGAGACACGGCCCAGACUCCUACGGGAGGCAGCAGUGGGGAAUAUUGCGCAAUGGACGGAAGUCUGACGCAGCAACGCCGCGUGAGGGAUGACGGCCUUCGGGUUGUAAACCUCUUUCAGCAGGGACGAAGCGAGAGUGACGGUACCUGCAGAAGAAGGACCGGCCAACUACGUGCCAGCAGCCGCGGUAAUACGUAGGGUCCGAGCGUUGUCCGGAAUUAUUGGGCGUAAAGGGCUCGUAGGCGGUUCGUCGCGUCGGGAGUGAAAACUCGGAGCUCAACUCCGAGCCUGCUUCCGAUACGGGCAGACUAGAGGUAGNCAGGGGAAGANCGGAACUCCU
rnacentral:rRNA from 1 species